rnacentral:RNase_P_RNA from 1 species
CGAGCCCGUCGGACGACCGCGGAUCCGCUUCGGCGGAGUCGAGGAAAGUCCGGACUCCACAGGGCGCGGUGCUGGGUAACACCCAGGCGGGGCAACCCGACGGAAAGUGCAGCAGAAAACACACCGCCGAUGGUCUAACGACACAGGCAAGGGUGAAAAGGUGGUGUAAGAGACCACCAGUGGCCCGGGUGACCGGGCCAGCUUGUAAACCCCACCGGGAGCAAGGCCAAGCAGGGAUCGACUGCCCGUCGUAUAUCCCGGGUAGGCCGCUCGAGACAGUUUGGCAACAAGCUGUCCAGAUGGAUGGUCGUCGCGUGCCGCCCACCGGCGGCAGGUACAGAAUCCGGCUUACAGAUGGGCUCGCCGG